GAAAUUUAUAGGUUUGCCUUAGUCCUGCUAAGUCUAUAGGCCUGCGGUUCAAGUCCGUUGAAAUUUCG
rnacentral:tRNA from 1 species